GACGAACGCUGGCGGCGUGCCUAAUACAUGCAAGUAGAACGCUGAAGGAAGGAGCUUGCUCUUUCCGGAUGAGUUGCGAACGGGUGAGUAACGCGUAGGUAACCUGCCUGGUAGCGGGGGAUAACUAUUGGAAACGAUAGCUAAUACCGCAUAACAGUAGAUAUCGCAUGAUAGCUGCUUAAAAGGUGCAAUUGCACCACUACCAGAUGGACCUGCGUUGUAUUAGCUAGUUGGUGAGGUAACGGCUCACCAAGGCAACGAUACAUAGCCGACCUGAGAGGGUGAUCGGCCACACUGGGACUGAGACACGGCCCAGACUCCUACGGGAGGCAGCAGUAGGGAAUCUUCGGCAAUAGACGGAAGUCUGACCGAGCAACGCCGCGUGAGUGAAGAAGGUUUUCGGAUCGUAAAGCUCUGUUGUAAGAGAAGAACGAGUGUGAGAGUGGAAAGUUCACACUGUGACGUAUCUACCA
rnacentral:rRNA from 1 species